ACGAACGCUGGCGGCGUGCUUAACACAUGCAGGUCGAACGGUGAUGCUCCAGCUUGCUGGAGUGGAUCAGUGGCGAACGGGUGAGUAACACGUGAGCAACCUGCCCCAGACUCUGGAAUAAGCGCUGGAAACGGCGUCUAAUACUGGAUACGAAACUGGCCCGCAUGGGCAUGGUUUGGAAAGUUUUUCGGUUUGGGAUGGGCUCGCGGCCUAUCAGCUUGUUGGUGAGGUAAUGGCUCACCAAGGCGACGACGGGUAGCCGGCCUGAGAGGGCGACCGGCCACACUGGGACUGAGACACGGCCCAGACUCCUACGGGAGGCAGCAGUGGGGAAUAUUGCACAAUGGGCGAAAGCCUGAUGCAGCGACGCCGCGUGAGGGAUGACGGCCUUCGGGUUGUAAACCUCUUUCAGCAGGGAAGAAGCGAAAGUGACGGUACCUGCAGAAGAAGCACCGGCUAACUACGUG
rnacentral:rRNA from 1 species